rnacentral:rRNA from 1 species
AAAUUGAAGAGUUUGAUCAUGGCUCAGAUUGAACGCUGGCGGCAGGCCUAACACAUGCAAGUCGAACGGUAACAGGAAGCAGCUUGCUGCUUCGCUGACGAGUGGCGGACGGGUGAGUAAUGUCUGGGAAGCUGCCUGAUGGAGGGGGAUAACUACUGGAAACGGUAGCUAAUACCGCAUAAUGUCGCAAGACCAAAGAGGGGGACCUUCGGGCCUCUUGCCAUCGGAUGUGCCCAGAUGGGAUUAGCUUGUUGGUGGGGUAACGGCUCACCAAGGCGACGAUCCCUAGCUGGUCUGAGAGGAUGACCAGCCACACUGGAACUGAGA